rnacentral:piRNA from 1 species
GAGCAACCUAAAGUUCAAGUGA